CCUACGGGUGGCAGCAGUGAGGAAUAUUGGUCAAUGGACGAGAGUCUGAACCAGCCAAGUAGCGUGAAGGAUGAAUGUCCUAUGGGUUGUAAACCUCUUUUAUAAAGGAAUAAAACGAGGCACGUGUGCCUGUUUGCAUGUACUUGAUGAAUAAGGAUCGGCUAACUCCGUGCCAGCAGCCGCGGUAAUACGGAGGAUCCGAGCGUUAUCCGGAUUUAUUGGGUUUAAAGGGUGCGUAGGUGGGUUGUUAAGUCAGUUGUGAAAGUUUGCGGGUCAACCGUAAAAUUGCAAUUGAUACUGGCGGUCUUGAGUACAGUAGAGGUAGGCGGAAUGCGUGGUGUAGCGGUGAAAUGCUUAGAUAUCACGAAGAACCCCGAUUGCGAAGGCAGCAUACUAAACUGCGACUGACGUUGAGGCACGAAAGCGUGGGGAGCGAACAGGAUUAGAUACCCGUGUAGUC
rnacentral:rRNA from 1 species